AACGAACGCUGGCGGCAUGCCUAACACAUGCAAGUCGAACGAAGCCUUCGGGCUUAGUGGCGCACGGGUGCGUAACGCGUGGGAAUCUGCCCUUGGGUUCGGAAUAACAGUUAGAAAUGACUGCUAAUACCGAAUGAUGUCUUCGGACCAAAGAUUUAUCGCCCAAGGAUGAGCCCGCGUCGGAUUAGCUAGUUGGUGAGGUAAAGGCUCACCAAGGCGACGAUCCGUAGCUGGUCUGAGAGGAUGAUCAGCCACACUGGGACUGAGACACGGCCCAGACUCCUACGGGAGGCAGCAGUGGGGAAUAUUGGACAAUGGGCGAAAGCCUGAUCCAGCAAUGCCGCGUGAGUGAUGAAGGCCUUAGGGUUGUAAAGGCUCUUUUACCCGGGAUGAUAAUGACAGUACCGGGAGAAUAAGCCCGGCUAACUCCGUGCCACGCAGCCGCGGUAAU
rnacentral:rRNA from 1 species